rnacentral:lncRNA from 1 species
UUAUUUCAGUUUGAACACUUUAAAAACUGAGCUGGGUCAGGCUCGGUGGCUCAUGCCUGUAAUCCUAGCACUUUGGGAGGCUGAGGCGGGUGGAUCGCCUGAGGUCAGGCGUUUGAGACCAGCCUGGUCAACAUGGCGAAACCCUGUCUCUACAAAAAACAUAAAAAUUAGCCAGGUGUGGUGGUGGGCACCUGUAAUCUCAGCUACUUGGGAGGCUGAGGCACAAGAAUCACUUGAACUUGGGAGGUGGAGGUUGCAGUGA